UCCAUCGUGAGGUGGAAUCUGACGGAAGCUGGAGGCAAACUUUCGGCUCGAGGAACGCUCAUACCCGAUUCAGGAAACAAUGGAUGAAACC
rfam:Paenibacillus darwinianus strain Br genomic scaffold scaffold75, whole genome shotgun sequence.